GCUUAAUUGUAUGCUAAUUUCUCUCUCUUUCGGUAUCCUUUGUUCUAUUAUAGAUGUGACAUAAUGCUUAUUUCUACUUCUAGCAGGCUCCUUGUAAUAACUAUCAAGAAUCAUGCCAAUUUGCCUACUGCAGCUAAAGUUGCUGCUUGGAGCAUGGUUGAGUCAGCUCCCUUGCUGCAGCCUACGGCUCUCCCCUUGCCCCCUUGUCGAAGCCAUCGGAGAGGACAAGGCCGACAACCCAUGAUGAUACACUCACAGCUACCCAGGCCUCGCUGGUCCUCCCUUGCAUGCCCUCAUAUGCCAGGGGUUAUGGCAAUCAGGACAUGGUGGGGGCAGUUGGCGGUAAGGCAGAGUCAGGC